rnacentral:rRNA from 1 species
GACCUUCAGCUAUUGGAGGCAUUGCCUGCCAGUGACAACUGUUUAACGGCCGCGGUAUCCUGACCGUGCAAAGGUAGCAUAAUCAUUUGUUCUCUAAAUAAGGACUUGUAUGAAUGGCCGCACGAGGGUUUUACUGUCUCUUACUUCCAAUCAGUGAAAUUGACCUUCCCGUGAAGAGGCGGGAAUGCACAAAUAAGACGAGAAGACCCUAUGGAGCUUUAACUAACCAACCCAAAGAGAAUAGAUUUAACCAUUAAGGAAUAACAACAAUCUCCAUGAGUUGGUAGUUUCGGUUGGGGUGACCUCGGAGAAUAAAAAAUCCUCCGAGCGAUUUUAAAGACUAGACCCACAAGUCAAAUCACUCUAUCGCUCAUUGAUCCAAAAACUUGAUCAACGGAACAAGUUACCCUAGGGAUAACAGCGCAAUCCUAUUCAAGAGUCCAUAUCGACAAUAGGGUUUACGACCUCGAUGUUGGAUCAGGACAUCCUGAUGGUGCAACCGCUAUCAAAGGUUCGUUUGUUCAACGAUUAAAGUCCUACGUGAUCUGAGUUCAGACCGGA